rnacentral:rRNA from 1 species
GUUUGAUCAUGGCUCAGAUUGAACGCUGGCGGCAGGCUUAACACAUGCAAGUCGAGCGGGGGAAGGUAGCUUGCUACUGGACCUAGCGGCGGACGGGUGAGUAAUGCUUAGGAAUCUGCCUAUUAGUGGGGGACAACAUCUCGAAAGGGAUGCUAAUACCGCAUACGUCCUACGGGAGAAAGCAGGGGAUCUUCGGACCUUGCGCUAAUAGAUGAGCCUAAGUCGGAUUAGCUAGUUGGUGGGGUAAAGGCCUACCAAGGCGACGAUCUGUAGCGGGUCUGAGAGGAUGAUCCGCCACACUGGGACUGAGACACGGCCCAGACUCCUACGGGAGGCAGCAGUGGGGAAUAUUGGACAAUGGGGGGAACCCUGAUCCAGCCAUGCCGCGUGUGUGAAGAAGGCCUUAUGGUUGUAAAGCACUUUAAGCGAGGAGGAGGCUACUUUAGUUAAUACCUAGAGAUAGUGGACGUUACUCGCAGAAUAAGCACCGGCUAACUCUGUGCCAGCAGCCGCGGUAAUACAGAGGGUGCGAGCGUUAAUCGGAUUUACUGGGCGUAAAGCGUGCGUAGGCGGCUUAUUAAGUCGGAUGUGAAAUCCCCGAGCUUAACUUGGGAAUUGCAUUCGAUACUGGUGAGCUAGAGUAUGGGAGAGGAUGGUAGAAUUCCAGGUGUAGCGGUGAAAUGCGUAGAGAUCUGGAGGAAUACCGAUGGCGAAGGCAGCCAUCUGGCCUAAUACUGACGCUGAGGUACGAAAGCAUGGGGAGCAAACA